rnacentral:rRNA from 1 species
AGCAGCCGCGGUAAUUCCAGCUCCAAUAGCGUAUAUUAAAGUUGUUGCAGUUAAAAAGCUCGUAGUUGAAUUUCGGGGUCAGUAGGUUGGUCGUGCCACCGGUACGUACUGGUCUCACUGAUUCCUCCUUCCUGAUGAGCUGUAAUGCCAUUAAUUUGGUGUUGCAGGGAAUCUGGACUGUUACUUUGAAAAAAUUAGAGUGUUUAAAGCAGGCUAACGCUUGAAUACAUUAGCAUGGAAUAAUGAAAUAGGACGUUCGAUCCUAUUUUGUUGGUUUCUAGGAUUGACGUAAUGAUUAAUAGGGAUAGUUGGGGGCAUUAGUAUUCAAUUGUCAGAGGUGAAAUUCUUGGAUUUAUUGAAGACUAACUACUGCGAAAGCAUUUGCCAAGGAUGUUUUCAUUAAUCAAGAACGAAAGUUAGGGGAUCGAAGACGAUCAGAUACCGUCGUAGUCUUAACCAUAAACUAUGCCGACUAGGGAUCGGAUGAUGUUAAUUUUUUAAUGACUCAUUUCGGGCGUCC